GAUGAACGCUGGCGGCGUGCCUAAUACAUGCAAGUCGAGCGAACGGACGAGAAGCUUGCUCCUCUGACGUUAGCGGCGGACGGGUGAGUAACACGUGGAUAACCUACCUAUAAGACUGGGAUAACUUCGGGAAACCGGAGCUAAUACCGGAUAAUAUAUUGAACCGCAUGGUUCAAAAGUGAAAGACGGUCUUGCUGUCACUUAUAGAUGGAUCCGCGCUGCAUUAGCUAGUUGGUAAGGUAACGGCUUACCAAGGCAACGAUGCAUAGCCGACCUGAGAGGGUGAUCGGCCACACUGGAACUGAGACACGGUCCAGACUCCUACGGGAGGCAGCAGUAGGGAAUCUUCCGCAAUGGGCGAAAGCCUGACGGAGCAACGCCGCGUGAGUGAUGAAGGUCUUCGGAUCGUAAAACUCUGUUAUUAGGGAAGAACAAAUGUGUAAGUAACUGUGCACAUCUUGACGGUACCUAAUCAGAAAGCCACGGCUAACUACGUG
rnacentral:rRNA from 1 species